CCUACGGGGUGCAGCAGUGGGGAAUAUUGCACAAUGGGGGAAACCCUGAUGCAGCGACGCCGCGUGAGUGAAGAAGUAAUUCGUUAUGUAAAGCUCUAUCAGCAGGGAAGAAAAUGACGGUACCUGAGUAAGAAGCCCCGGCUAACUACGUGCCAGCAGCCGCGGUAAGACGUAGGGGGCAAGCGUUAUCCGGAUUUACUGGGUGUAAAGGGAGCGUAGACGGCAGUGCAAGUCUGGAGUGAAAGGCGGGGGCUCAACCCCCGGACUGCUCUGGAAACUGUACGGCUGGAGUGCAGGAGAGGUAAGUGGAAUUCCUAGUGUAGCGGUGAAAUGCGUAGAUAUUAGGAGGAACACCAGUGGCGAAGGCGGCUUACUGGACUGUAACUGACGUUGAGGCUCGAAAGCGUGGGGAGCAAACAGGAUUAGAUACCCUUGUAGUC
rnacentral:rRNA from 1 species